rnacentral:sRNA from 1 species
UACAAUUCCGUUUGUCGCCGAUAGAUAGC